rnacentral:rRNA from 1 species
GACGAACGCUGGCGGCGUGCUUAACACAUGCAAGUCGAGCGGGUAAGGCCCUUUCGGGGGUACACGAGCGGCGAACGGGUGAGUAACACGUGGGUGACCUGCCCUCAGCUCUGGGAUAAGCCUGGGAAACCGGGUCUAAUACCGGAUAUGACUCCAUGACGCAUGUUGUGGGGUGGAAAGCCUUGUGCGGCUGAGGAUGGGCCCGCGGCCUAUCAGCUUGUUGGUGGGGUGAUGGCCUACCAAGGCGACGACGGGUAGCCGGCCUGAGAGGGCGACCGGCCACACUGGGACUGAGACACGGCCCAGACUCCUACGGGAGGCAGCAGUGGGGAAUCUUGCGCAAUGGGCGAAAGCCUGACGCAGCGACGCCGCGUGAGGGA